rnacentral:lncRNA from 1 species
UCCUUAUACUAUAAUGAUACAAAUCAUAUAAACCCUGCUUGAAGCAACUAGUUUUUUCUUGGAGAAUAUAAACCAGAUGUAGAAGAUGCUCUUGAAAUUACAGAGACAAUGGAAUGAAAAGCAUUGGAAGCUAUCUUUGAUUUUAUCUGUCCUCUUUUUGGAAGUGGCCUCUUACCUCUAAACCUGUUCCUGUUAUUGGCAACUUCAGCAGAUGCAACACGACCCAUUCUGUUAUUC